GGUAAAAUGUCUGAAAAAUAAGAGAUAAAUUGUAAAUUUAUUUAUGGCUUUAAAAAGCCUUUUACUA
rnacentral:tRNA from 1 species